AAAUCUUUUUAGAAAAAGGUUUUUCUCUUACAGGUGAAAGAUCCGACAUCCCCAAGCGAUCAGGUGUGAGAGAGCAGCCGUCUUCGACAGGGUCCCCAGGAAACAUACCGUCACGCAGAAGGCUUCCAGGAGAAUGUUCUCAGGAGACAUUUUGGUCAUCAAGUGGGAAGGAUGGGAUCUCCUGCAUUGUUUGCCUCACUGUAGAGAAGAGGAAAUGCAGCUGUCUCAGCCACCGCCACCAUCAGCUCAUCCUGUAAUGUGAUUGGUCAUCUCAGCCUCCCCUGGGAAGAAGGCUGCAUUUCAGCGUGACCCCAUUAUGCUCCAAGCCCAGGUCUAAUGAGAUUGGACUCACAGAAUCCAAAGGUGCAACCCAAAUCAGAAGUGUGGAUGAGUGAACCCUUGUGAGGCAAACUCUACCCAGCGAGAGAAAAAAGAUAGCCGGAGUCCGCAAAUAAACUCUUCACUCUUCCUUGUUCCAAAAGUCAGUUCCCAAUUAUAGUCAUUCCACAGUUUUUCCAGGGAUGUCCUAAAGACAUGACCAAGAGAUUAACUGUGUUUCUUGUGAGCCUGUGGCCCACUCAGCAAUGCCCCC
rnacentral:lncRNA from 1 species